rnacentral:rRNA from 1 species
AGUGAACGCUGGCGGUAGGCCUAACACAUGCAAGUCGAACGGCAGCACAGUAAGAGCUUGCUCUUACGGGUGGCGAGUGGCGGACGGGUGAGGAAUACAUCGGAAUCUACUUUUUCGUGGGGGAUAACGUAGGGAAACUUACGCUAAUACCGCAUACGACCUACGGGUGAAAGCAGGGGAUCUUCGGACCUUGCGCGAUUGAAUGAGCCGAUGUCGGAUUAGCUAGUUGGCGGGGUAAAGGCCCACCAAGGCGACGAUCCGUAGCUGGUCUGAGAGGAUGAUCGGCCACACUGGAACUGGGACACGGUCAAGACUCCUACGGGAGGCAGCAGUGGGGAAUAUUGGACAAUGGGCGCAAGCCUGAUCCAGCCAUACCGCGUGGGUGAAGAAGGCCUUCGGUUUGUAAAGCCCUUUUGUUGGGAAAGAAAAGCAGCAGGUUAAUACCCCGCUGUUCUGACGGUACCCAAAGAAUAAGCACCGGCUAACUUCGUG